CGAAAGCCUGAUGCAGCGACGCCGCGUGAGUGAGGAAGUAUUUCGGUAUGUAAAGCUCUAUCAGCAGGGAAGAAAGAAAUGACGGUACCUGAGUAAGAAGCUCCGGCUAAAUACGUGCCAGCAGCCGCGGUAAUACGUAUGGAGCAAGCGUUAUCCGGAUUUACUGGGUGUAAAGGGAGCGUAGGCGGCAGAGCAAGUCUGAUGUGAAAGCCCGGGGCUCAACCCCGGUAGUGCAUUGGAAACUGUUCGGCUCGAGUGUCGGAGGGGUAAGCGGAAUUCCUGGUGUAGCGGUGAAAUGCGUAGAUAUCAGGAAGAACACCGGAGGCGAAGGCGGCUUACUGGACGAUUACUGACGCUGAGGCUCGAAAGCGUGGGGAGCGAACAGGAUUAGAUACCCUGGUAGUCCACGCUGUAAACGAUGAAUACUAGGUGUCGGUACCCGAAGGGUAUCGGUGCCGUCGCAAACGCAUGAAGUAUCCACUGGGAGUACGUCGCAGAAUGAAACUCAAAGGAAUUGACGGGGACCCGCACAAGCGGUGGAGCAUGU
rnacentral:rRNA from 1 species